CACGUAGGCACCAAGCGUUGUCCGGAUUUAUUGGGCGUAAAGAGCUCGUAGGCGGCUUGUCGCGUCGACUGUGAAAUCCCGCGGCUCAACUGCGGGUCUGCAGUCGAUACGGGCAGGCUAGAGUUCGGUAGGGGAGACUGGAAUUCCUGGUGUAGCGGUGAAAUGCGCAGAUAUCAGGAGGAACACCGAUGGCGAAGGCAGGUCUCUGGGCCGUAACUGACGCUGAGGAGCGAAAGCGUGGGGAGCGAACAGG
rnacentral:rRNA from 1 species